GAUGAACGCUGGCGGCGUGCCUAAUACAUGCAAGUCGAGCGAACAGACGAGGAGCUUGCUCCUCUGACGUUAGCGGCGGACGGGUGAGUAACACGUGGAUAACCUACCUAUAAGACUGGGAUAACUUCGGGAAACCGGAGCUAAUACCGGAUAACAUGUUUAACCGCAUGGUUCAACAGUGAAAGACGGUUUUGCUGUCACUUAUAGAUGGAUCCGCGCCGCAUUAGCUAGUUGGUAAGGUAACGGCUUACCAAGGCAACGAUGCGUAGCCGGCCUGAGAGGGUGAUCGGCCACACUGGAACUGAGACACGGUCCAGACUCCUACGGGAGGCAGCAGUAGGGAAUCUUGCGCAAUGGGCGAAAGCCUGACGGAGCCACGCCGCGUGAGUGAAGAAGGUCUUCGGAUCGUAAAACUCUGUUAUUAGGGAAGAACAAAUGUGUAAGUAACUCUGCACGUCUUGACGGUACCUAAUCAGAAAGCAACGGCUAACUACGUG
rnacentral:rRNA from 1 species